UAGUCGGUGAAAGUCUGGUCGCGGGAGGGGCCAAGCCCCCGCGUAGCUAGGGUACUUACGUGUGGCGAAAUCUGUGCGUAAAAGCGUAUCGACAAAAGUACUUCUCAGAGACAAGGCGAGCAAUCUGCCAGGUCAACGCUG
rnacentral:ncRNA from 1 species